GUUGUAGCUCAGGGGUAUAGCGCUUGCCUAGCAUGUGUGAGACACUGGGUUCAAUACUCGGCACAACA
rnacentral:tRNA from 1 species